AUUGAACGCUGGCGGCAUGCCUUACACAUGCAAGUCGAACGGCAGCACGGGAGCAAUCCUGGUGGCGAGUGGCGAACGGGUGAGUAAUAUAUCGGAACGUGCCCAGUCUGGGGGAUAACGUAGCGAAAGCUACGCUAAUACCGCAUACGAUCUAUGGAUGAAAGCGGGGGAUCGCAAGACCUCGCGCGAUUGGAGCGGCCGAUAUCAGAUUAGGUAGUUGGUGAGGUAAAGGCUCGCCAAGCCGACGAUCUGUAGCUGGUCUGAGAGGACGACCAGCCAC
rnacentral:rRNA from 1 species